rnacentral:rRNA from 1 species
UACGGGGGGAGCAAGCGUUGUUCGGAUUUACUGGGCGUAAAGGGCGCGUAGGCGGCCUGAUAAGUCGGGGGUGAAAGCCUGUGGCUCAACCACAGAAUUGCCUUCGAUACUGUUAGGCUUGAGACCGGAAGAGGUAAGUGGAACUGCGAGUGUAGAGGUGAAAUUCGUAGAUAUUCGCAAGAACACCAGUGGCGAAGGCGGCUUACUGGUCCGGUUCUGACGCUGAGGCGCGAAAGCGUGGGGAGCAAACAGG